GCACCCCUCACGUUGCCUUCCCUGCGGCCGCUUCCCUGACGCCGAAAGCAGGAAGCGCGGAUAAGACGGAACGCUCAGAUUGAGGAAAAAAGGCGAGCCCUGGUUUUUCCCUGAACUGUGACCGUAGCUUCAAGGAGGGUCUGUCUUCCCCUCUCCUAGGCCACAGGAGAAAACAUGCUUGGUUUUAUGGGGACGCGUAACUUUGUAAUGACUCCCGUUAUGAGUUGAUUUUCAGUAGGGAAACUGUUAGGGCAGUUUGUUGACUGUGUCUGGUAACGUUUAAUUGGUCAAAGGAUGGGUGGGAAGUAGUUUCAAUUUUUUACAAGGGUAGACUUUGGAAAAGGUGGACUUCGGAGGAUAUGUCUAGAGAAGGAUGGGUAGAACAGCUGAAAAGUCCUCUUCCAUUUGGCACCUCUGCUAUUUAUGUGGGCUCUGCAUCUGUGUACUUAAGUACCUGUGUUUAUUAACAACGAAUCUAGCCCUAAAUCCUGGUCUUUUACAUGUUACCAAAAAGUAAUAUCAAAGUAUGUGAAAACUUUAGUUGGUUGUACUUGUGGCUAAGCAGUGAGAUGAAAAGCAAGCUGAUUUGAGUGGUCAGAAGUCAUCCCAUUAUUUAUAGGAUUAGGAGUGAUAUACAGAAAAGGUUUGAGUGAUUUUUUUUGUUAAUAGUUUCUUGUAAACUGUCAAGAUAUUUUAGACUUAAUUAUUGGCAUGCAUUUCAGUACCUCUUUGUUUUCUGAACUAAACAGUGCUGGCACAGAAUUAACACAAAGUGAUUCAUUAACCAGUUGUGAUGGUUGUUCCCACUGUUUAAUGCCAGGCAGGCAAAUAUGCCUUAAAGUCGUAGUAAGCAUGAUAAGUACUUUCCUCUGGAUAUAUAGAAGCAAGUUCAUGAAGUGUAUUUUAAUUUAGAAAUUCAUGUUAAUUUUUUUCUUUGAGAGAAAAAUGUGCACCUUCAACAUCUCUUGCACUGGGAAGCAUACCUCACUAGCAGGUGACAGAAGAACAUCUCUUGGUAUUUUUCAAUGAAGGCCAGUAUGGAAAUCCCCUAAAUAAGUACAUUAGGCAUUAUGAAGGAUUAUCUUACGAUGUGGAUUUGUUACACCAAAAACACCAGCGUGCCAAAAGAGCAGUAUCACAUGAAGAUCAGUUCUUGCACCUAGAUUUUCAUGCUCAUGGAAGACACUUCAACCUUCGAAUGAAGAGAGAUACAUCUCUUUUUAGUGAUGACUUUAAAGUACAAAUAUCAAACCAACUAAUUGAUUAUGAUACCUCCCACAUUUACACUGGACAUAUUUAUGGUGAGCAGGGAAGUUUUAGUCAUGGGUCUGUUAUUGAUGGAAAAUUUGAAGGAUUCAUCCAAACGCACAGUGGGACCUUUUAUAUUGAGCCAGCAGAGAGAUAUAUUAAGGACAAAACUCUACCGUUCCACUCUGUCAUUUAUCAUGAAGAUGAUAUCAAAUAUCCACAUAAAUAUGGACCACAAGGAGGCUGUGCAGAUCAUUCAGUGUUUGAAAGAAUGCAGAAGUACCAGAUGACUGGUAUAGAAGAACCAAUAACAGAGAAGCCUUUUGAAGAGCCUAAGAACGAUGCUCCACAGCUUUUAAGAAAAAAGCGUGCCACUCAGGCUGAAAAAAAUACAUGUCAGCUGUAUAUUCAGACUGAUCAUUUGUUCUACAAACAUUAUGGAACAAGGGAAGCUGUAAUUGCACAGAUAUCCAGCCACGUUAAAGCGAUUGACACAAUUUAUCAGUCAACAGAUUUCUCAGGAAUUCGUAACAUCAGCUUCAUGGUGAAACGAAUAAGAAUUAACACAACUGUUGAUGAGAAGGACUCUUCCAAUCCCUUCAGAUUUCCUAACAUUGGUGUGGAAAAGUUUCUGGAACUGAACUCGGAACAGAAUCAUGAUGAUUAUUGCUUGGCCUAUGUGUUUACAGACCGGGAUUUUGAUGAUGGAGUUCUUGGUCUGGCUUGGGUUGGAGCCCCUUCAGGGAGCUCUGGUGGAAUAUGUGAAAAGAGCAAACUGUAUUCUGAUGGUAAGAAGAAGUCUUUGAACACUGGAAUCAUCACUGUUCAGAACUAUGGCUCUCAUGUUCCUCCCAAGGUUUCUCACAUUACUUUUGCUCAUGAGGUUGGGCAUAACUUUGGUUCACCUCAUGAUUCUGGAAUGGAGUGCACUCCAGGAGAGUCCAAGAACCUGGGACAGAAAGAAAAUGGCAAUUAUAUCAUGUAUGCAAGAGCUACAUCUGGGGACAAACUUAACAACAACAAGUUCUCUAUCUGUAGCAUUCGAAAUAUCAGCCAAGUUCUUGAGAAAAAGAGAAAUAAUUGCUUUGUUGAGUCUGGUCAACCCAUCUGUGGCAAUGGACUGGUUGAACAAGGGGAACAGUGUGAUUGUGGAUACAGCGACCAGUGUAAAGAUGAAUGCUGUUACGAUGCAAAUCAACCAGAGGAUAAAAAAUGCAAGUUAAAACCAGGCAAAUACUGCAGUCCUAGCCAAGGCCCCUGCUGUACUGCACAGUGUAAUUUCAAAUUGAGGACGGAUAAGUGUCGAAAUGAUUCUGACUGCGCAAAGGAAGGAAUGUGUAAUGGUGUCAGUGCUCUCUGUCCAGCAUCUGAUCCUAAACCAAACUUCACAGACUGCAACAGGAACACACAAGUGUGCAUAAAUGGGCAAUGUGCUGGCUCUAUCUGUGAGAAGCAUGGCUUGGAGGAAUGUACAUGUGCUAGUUCAGAUGGCAAGGAUGAUAGAGAAUUGUGUCAUGUCUGCUGCAUGAGAAAAAUGGACCCAGCUACAUGUGCAAGUACAGGCUCUAACCAGUGGGAGAGACACUUUGGUCGUAAAACUAUUACUUUGCAACCUGGAUCUCCUUGUAAUGAUUUUAAAGGCUAUUGUGAUGUUUUUAUGAGGUGUCGGCUAGUAGAUGCUGAUGGCCCUCUAGCUAGAUUAAAGAAAGCAAUUUUUAAUCCAGAGCUGUAUGAAAAUAUUGCAGAAUGGAUUGUGGUAAGUUUGGGGGUUAUUUUAUUUUACUAGUCUAAUGUAAAAUUUUCUUCGUUGGGAAGUGUUGCUGUGUAUAUACAGUACUUCAACAUCCUGAAUGUUCCGUCCCUGAAGUUAGCCCAUCCCUGGCAGUGUUCAAGGCCAGGUUGGAAGGUGUACCUGCCCAUGGCAGGGGGUUGGAACUGGAUGAGCUUUAAGGUCCCUUCCAACCCAAAGCAUUCUGAGAAUUCUUCAAAGUAUAAUCAGUCCUUGUCUUGCUAGUUUUUUCUAUAAGCACCUUGAGUGCGCAAAUAUUUUGAUAGAUUGAAGGGAAUGGAAAAAAGUAACAAGCAAAUAUUUUGUGUUGUUAAUACCUCUGUUCACUGUUUUGGUGUUAAUGUUCACAUUUUGAAUUUACUUGGGUUUUCCUGUUUUAAGUCUUCAUAUUUGAAUGCUCUGAUUUCUUUUUACGAACUAAAUUUAUUGAUCUCGAGCAUUUAUUAUUUUUAAUGCACUUUAGAUGACCCUUUCCUAAUAUAAUAGACUGGGAGGAGAGCUACAGUGAAACAUCAUUACAGAGCUCCAUAGUCAAUUCUGUGUAAGCUGUUGAUUGAUUUUAGGCUUAUAUAGCUCUGUUGUAGUGAUAUAUCUGUGUUGUAUUUGAUAAUAGAAUGGAUCUGAAGUAUUUUGGAUUUUUUUUUCUGUGUAAGAAUUUUGGGGCUGUUUUUCUUUAAAAUGCUGUGGUCAUAUUUUAAGUGAUGGUUCAGAACAGCUUUUUGAUGACUUUUAGAAGGCAAAGGAAAGCCAUAUUUCAUGACCAUUGUCUCUUAUGCAUGUCUGCCAGCCCACCAACUCCAAAUAAUUUUUUUCAUGUUUUCAGGUAUAUUGGUGGGCAGUGUUGCUUAUGGGAAUUGCCUUGAUCAUGUUAAUGGCUGGUUUCAUUAAGAUAUGCAGUGUUCAUACUCCAAGCAGUAAUCCAAAGUUGCCUCCUCAUAAACCACUUCCAGGCACUUUAAAAAGGAGGAGACCACCACAGACUACUCAGCCACCACAGCGGCAAAGGCCCCGAGAGAGUUAUCAGAUGGGACAUAUGAGACGUUGACUGCAGCUUUUUGCCUUGGUUCUUCCUAGUGCCUACAAUGGGAAAACUCACUCCAAAGAAAACCUAAUAAGUCAUUGUCCCCAGUCUUAACUCUCAAUAAUAGAAGAGGAAAAAAAAAAGCAUGAUAUGCCCUCAAAACAAGUGGAAAUGGUUAAUUUUUAAUGAAUUCUCAAGCUCAAAAAGAAGAAAAGUGGUUUUCUUGCAUAUUUUUAACUUAGUGGCACAAAGUCCUAGAGUAUCGUGAUUCUUUCCCCCUUCUGUGCUCUUCAUUGCUGCAUUUUCUUCACUUGCAGGCAAAUAUGGCUGUAGGAAAACUUAUACUCAAGAAUUUGAAAAACAGAAAGUUCUAUUUUUCAACUGCCAGACAAGACUAGGAAGCUAGACCACCUCAGCACUGGAGACAUUACUUGUCAAUGUAUAUACAUUGUUAUAUGCAGACAUGUAUUUCUAACGUACACCCGUACUUGUGUGCAAUUGUAAACAAGAGAAUUGCAAUAUGGAUGUUUUCUUUGUAUUAUAAAACUUUUCCGCUAUUAAUGAAGAAAUUACUGUUUAAUUGACAUACUCAGGAUAACAGAGGAUUAUGGUGUGUAAUGGUCAAGGAUCCUGUGAUGCUUUAUACAGCAAUUUGGAAUCAAAUCAAACUUUUUUUGUCAUGAUCAAAGUUGUUUCAAGCACUCAUUUCAUCUUUGUCGAACAGCUGCUAAGACAUAGCAUACAAGAUUGAAUGGUCUUUUAGAGAUAUACCAGGUGUUAUGCAAACUCUGCAAAUGCCACAAUGUUUCAGAAAUGUUUUAUAGAGGUGUCUAAUUUCUUGUAGCUCAGCAUAAAUAUUCUCAUUUUGUCUGAUUCAGUUAAAUAAUGAAUAGUUUGAAAUAUUUCCAUGCUUCCUUAGAAAAUCCUACCUAUUAUUCAGCUUGUUCUAAAAAUUGCAACUGAUUUAUUUGGGCUGUUUAGAUGUUCUUACAGUACAAUUAAGUUCGUGUUCUGAGGGAUGUGGAAAGAAAGAAAAGCUGUAGGUUUUGUCUUUUUUAAUUUAUCAGAUAUUUGAAUAACGCUUCAGCAUGAUACUGUUGAUUGAUAACCACUAGAGCUAUUACUGCCCAGCUACUGUGGCAGAGUUCAAAUUGUAGUUAGGACUACCAGUUUUUCCACAGUUUUAUACCAGUAGUGAAGUUCAACAGCACAGUGUCCCAUUCCAAAGUUUUUAUGACGAAUGUAAAUAAUUGGCAUUUUUGAAAGAGGAAACAAAAGGUGUCUUAAGGUGCUUACUGCUAUGCAGGAGAUGAAAGGGGGCAUUACAAAGUGUUUAAGCUUGUGAUGUAUUUAUUGCUUGUUUUCCAAAAGCAACAAGCUAAUUAGAGAUGCAAAUGGCUAUAAUUUUCCUGGCUUUGCUUAGGGGAGAAUUUACUAAGGGUUGGACAGGCUUCCUUUGUUUGUUUUUUGUUUUGUUUUGUUUUUUUUUUUAAGAGUAUAAGGUUUACACAAUCAUUCUCAUAAUGUGACGCAAGCCAGCAAGGCCAAAAAUGUUACAGAAUAUAAUGGGAUCUCUUCCUUGUAAACUUGUACAGUAUGUGGUAACUUUUUCAAAAUACAGCUUUUUGUACAUGGUUUAGAGACAAAUUUUGUACAUGAAACCCCAAGUCCAAUAGACUAUAUAAAUAAUUCUAAAUGAUCUUAACUAGUUAGAAGUGUGUGUAGUUGCUUUUAAGUAAUUUUAAAUACCUUUGUUUUAAGACUGUGCAAAGAUUGGAAGUGGGUUUGCAUUUCUAAAAUGGUGACUUUUAUUCAGCAAGAGUUCUUAGUAACUUCUUGAGUGUGGUAGACUUUGGAACAUGUAAAUUUUUUGCCUGUAAUGUUAUCCUGUGGUAGGAUUUUGGCAGACAAAUGCUGCCGUAUUUUAGUUUCAGUCUAAGUUAAAUGUUUUCUGAAAACAGAAAUGUGCACUGAACUCUCCACUGCAAGUCAAGAUGUGGUAAAACCGAAAGUUCAAGACAAUGAAAUGGAAUACUACUGUCAAUUUCAUGUCCACUGUGUUUUAUACAGUAUCUUUUUUGUUCACUUUGGAAAUUUUUACUAAAAAUGCAAAAAAUAAAGUAUUGUGCAAAGAUAUGUAAGGUUUUUUGAAACUUGAAAUGCAUUAAUAAAUAGACUUGAUGAAAUAA